GACGUAGGGCGCGAGCGUUGUCCGGAUUUAUUGGGCGUAAAGAGCGCGCAGGCGGUCGAUCAAGUCGCGUGUGAAAGCCCCCGGCUCAACUGGGGAGGGUCACGCGAUACUGAUCGACUCGAAGGCAGGAGAGGGUAGUGGAAUUCCCGGUGUAGUGGUGAAAUGCGUAGAUAUCGGGAGGAACACCAGUGGCGAAGGCGACUACCUGGCCUGUUUCUUGACGCUGAGGCGCGAAAGCUAGGGGAGCAAACGGG
rnacentral:rRNA from 1 species